GCCGGAGUGGCGAAAUUGGCAGACGCACUGGACUCAAAAUCCAGCGGGAUGCAUAAUCCCGUGAGGGUUCGAAUCCCUCCUCCGGCA
rnacentral:tRNA from 1 species